rnacentral:rRNA from 1 species
GAAAAAGAGGAGUGGCGAACGGGUGAGUAACACGUGGGUAACCUGCCCAUCAGAAGGGGAUAACACUUGGAAACAGGUGCUAAUACCGUAUAACAAUCGAAACCGCAUGGUUUUGAUUUGAAAGGCGCUUUCGGGUGUCGCUGAUGGAUGGACCCGCGGUGCAUUAGCUAGUUGGUGAGGUAACGGCUCACCAAGGCCACGAUGCAUAGCCGACCUGAGAGGGUGAUCGGCCACAUUGGGACUGAGACACGGCCCAAACUCCUACGGGAGGCAGCAGUAGGGAAUCUUCGGCAAUGGACGAAAGUCUGACCGAGCAACGCCGCGUGAGUGAAGAAGGUUUUCGGAUCGUAAAACUCUGUUGUUAGAGAAGAACAAGGAUGAGAGUAACUGUUCAUCCCUUGACGGUAUCUAACCAGAAAGCCACGGCUAACUACGUGCCAGCAGCCGCGGUAAUACGUAGGUGGCAAGCGUUGUCCGGAUUUAUUGGGCGUAAAGCGAGCGCAGGCGGUUUCUUAAGUCUGAUGUGAAAGCCCCCGGCUCAACCGGGGAGGGUCAUUGGAAACUGGGAGACUUGAGUGCAGAAGAGGAGAGUGGAAUUCCAUGUGUAGCGGUGAAAUGCGUAGAUAUAUGGAGGACACCAGUGGCGAAGCGGCUCUCUGGUCUGUAACUGA